rnacentral:rRNA from 1 species
AUGAGCGCCCUAGGCUCGACGGAGAUGCGCGCUUGCCAACUCCCGGCGGCGGUGGAGUUGGAGCUGGCGCAGCUCGAGAGGCGGCACGACCAGCGAGCGGACCCUCUGGCGCAGCGCCGGCUCGCGGAGCUCGGCGAGGCGGCGGCCGUGCGGGUGCUGCAGAGGAUCGGGCGGUCCAGGCAGCCGGUGCAGAAUCUGUCCGCCUACAUCCAGUGGGUGAUGAAGCACGACUCAGAGGAGCGCGCCGCCGCCGGCGGCUCCGUGCCGUCACAGCGAGGAGGUGAUGCUGUAUUGGGGACGGUGAAUCAUCACAUUCACAUUUCCUUGGAUCUCCCAAUCCAUGCCACGAUCAAUGCCGGGAGCCCUGCCCGAUCGACGCAUUACAGUUUGCAGCUGCCAGGAAGCCCUGGCCAUGGCCCUGUGUCUGGGUUGCAGCAUCAGGUGGGGACUGAGAGCCUGGUCCGGCAUGCCAUUGCUUCGCCUACAACAACGGUGUCCUCCCCAAGCCCUGUGAGGAACAUUGUAAAAUCUCUGCAUCAGUUGGCACUGGGAGGCCUACCGAGAACCGUAGGGGCUGAACUCGCUACACCGCCAACACCGGUGCACAUGAUGCCAGCAGACCCUCUUGUCAAUGCAAACACAUCAAAGGCAACAGCGAACCUGCACAUGACCAUGAUGGCGCUUGGGGAGCUAGAGUUCGACAAGGUUUUCUUGAUAUAUGUGUACCUUGGCCGCAACAAGACAGAAGAUGUGUGUGAAUUACGAGAAGAUUAUAUUAGGUCACUGCCUUCACUUUCAAUGAAAGAUUCUGAACCAGAAAUUUGGCACAGAUUUGGUCACAAGUUUGUAGCCGAAUCAGAUAGAAGGAAGAACCUUGACUGGGGGGAUUCAAGUAAGGCAAGAGUGUAUCAUUGCUGUUUGGAGAUAGCAGAUGGCUCCGUGGUUACCAUCUUUAAGGGGCCAUAUCUUGAAACCUCGAGGAACAAGCUGCAGAAAGUUGUUGGCGAUGACAACAUUCUUGUCGUGAAGUUCUCGGAUAUACCUGGGCAAAGAAACUUUGGCAAUGACGUCGGUGCCUACUAUAGUGUUUACCAUAAGGUUGCUGAAGAUGGCAUCAGCUUGGGUUUGCGUCGUUACCGUUAUCUCAUUCACAAAGACGGGGGCAAGGAGGGGAAACUUAAAGAGGGAACCGAGAAAUUUUCUUCCGGUGUUAAAUGCUACUUUCUACGCACUGAAUCUGGGUGGAACAGAGAUGAUGCUUAUAUCCUCUCCAAUAAAACAAUUGAUGAGGCCCGCAAACUUUUUAUGCACGUUCACACUGUUCCCACCUUGGCAAAAUAUUUGGCCAGGUUUGCUUUGGUAUUGUCCAAAGCUACAACACUACUAGAUGCCAACGACCUAUCAAAGGUUAAUGUUAUAAUUAUCGAGGACAUACCUUGCAAGGAUAGAAACGGAAACAUUGUUCUCAGUCAUGGGGAGCCUUUGAUCCACACUGAUGGGACUGGCCUAAUCUCAGAAGAUAUAGCCAAUAAAUGCCCGACGAGUGUCGUCAAGGGAAACUUUUCGAGGACACCUGACCUGCAAGUGUUGUCCUCCGAUCCAGGACUAGAGGGCAGGGGGCUCUCUUCGGAGCCUCUACUUUUGCAGAUCCGUAUGUUCUAUAAUGGACUUGCUGUAAAGGGAACCCUUCUUGUUGAUAGAAGGCUUCUUCCUGGAACUAUUAAGAUACGGCAGUCAAUGAUCAAAACAGCAUCUGAUCCAAAUCUACGGGACGAGCAGUCCUUUAACUCACUGGAAAUAGUUAGUACAAGCAAAUAUCCAAAAAGAGCCUUUACAUCAAGGUUUUUAAUCGCACUGCUUCACUAUGGAGGGGUUCCAGCAGAUUAUUUUUUGGAGCUUGUAAGGAAGGCACUAAAAGAUGUUGAGAAAGCCUGUCAUAAAGCUAGUUAUUCUCUCGAAGUUGCAUAUAACCAUGCCAACUUGGAUGAUUCCAUGUCGGCACGAAUGAUUCUUUCUGGAAUUCAACCUGAAGAUGAUGCAUAUUUGCAAUACCAGCUGGCUUUUAUGACUCGAGAAGAAAGAGAAGGAAUCAAAUUAGGAAGGAUUCCUAUUGAGGAGAGUUACUAUCUGAUGGGCACAUCAGACCCUACAGGGACACUAAAGCCCAAUGAAGUUUGUGUGAUACACGAGAAUGGACAAAUUUCUGGAGAUGUUCUUGUCUAUACAAAUCCUGGGUUACAUUUUGGCGAUAUACAUGUGUUAACUGCAACUCCAAUUCCUAAUUUGGAGAAGGAGAUUGUAGGAUUUUCCAAAUAUGUUAUAAUAUUUCCUAUUUCUGGUCCACGGUCUUUGGCUGACGAGAUGGCUAACAGCGACUUCGACGGUGAUAUGUACUUUGUAUCAAGAAAUCCCCAGUUACUUGAGCACUUCAGACCAUCUGAAGCAUGGGUUCCGAGAAACCCACCAAAAAAAGUCGAACAAAAGAAUCCUCAGCAUUAUGAUGGACCCCAGCUGGAAAGCCUGUUGUUCAAAGAAUUUUUGAAAAGUAGAUUUGUACCCAGUUAUACGAUAGGUACAGCUGCAGAUUGUUGGCUGGUAUACAUGGAUCAACUUUUGGCAGGUCAAGUUCAAGAAAACAAACGCGGAAUGGAAAUAAAGGAUAAGACGCUUGACUUAGUUGACAUAUACUAUGAGUCUCUGGAUGCCCCCAAGACAGGGAUCAAGGUCGAUGUCCCCGAUGCACUGAGGGUCAAAAAAUAUCCCCACUAUAUGGAAAAAGGAGAUGAUCGGUCCUACCAUUCAACGUCCGUGCUCGGACAAAUCUAUGACGAAGCAAAAGCAUUGUCAGAGCAGUCUAAAGAUAUUCCUCCAAUCAAUAUAUCGCCCCUGGCGUGCUUUACAGAGGUGGCCGUGGGGGUAACCAAAGAGCGCAAGGAGGAGUGGAAAAGGCUUUACGACGAAUAUCGAGGAGAGAGCACAGCCCUCUGCGAUAAGAAGUACAAUAAGAAGUACAGCAAAGAAGAGAGAGACGCGGGGUUUACGAAGCUUUACCAGAAGUAUAGGCGGAUGCUGUACGACGCGGAGGAGUUCGACGACAGCCUGAGGAACUACAACGAGGUGUUUGGCGAGGCCUGCGCCAUCUACCAGAUCGUCUACGAGUAUGCGCGGAGACAGAACAAGGCUACAUUGUGCGGCUUUGCGUGGAAGGUCGCCGGCCGCGCACUGUGCCAUCUGCACGCGAUCAAGCGUGGCGGCGAGACGGUGCUCUGCUCGCAGUCCGUCCUCCGGGACGCCUUCAAGAAGAACCGUUGA